GACGAACGCUGGCGGCGUGCUUAACACAUGCAAGUCGAGCGAGGCCCCUCCUUCGGGAGGGUGUCCUAGCGGCGAACGGGUGAGUAACACGUGGGCAACCUGCCCUCAGCUCUGGGAUAACUCCGGGAAACCGGGGCUAAUACCGGAUACGACCUCCACGGGCAUCUGCGGAGGUGGAAAGUUUUUCGGCUGAGGAUGGGCCCGCGGCCUAUCAGCUAGUUGGUGGGGUAGUGGCCCACCAAGGCGACGACGGGUCGCCGGCCUGAGAGGGCGACCGGCCACCCUGGGACUGAGACACGGCCCAGACUCCUACGGGAGGCAGCAGUGGGGAAUAUUGCGCAAUGGGCGAAAGCCUGACGCAGCGACGCCGCGUGAGGGACGAAGGCCUUCGGGUUGUAAACCUCUUUCGGCAGGGACGAAGCGAAAGUGACGGUACCUGCAGAAGAAGCACCGGCCAACUACGUG
rnacentral:rRNA from 1 species